AUUUAAGUAGUUUAAUCUAAAAUACUGAUUUGUGGUGUCAGUGAUAUAAAUUUAUUUAUCUUAGAUC
rnacentral:tRNA from 2 species